AGAGUUUGAUCCUGGCUCAGGACGAACGCUGGCGGCGUGCCUAAUACAUGCAAGUAGAACGCUGAAGAGAGGAGCUUGCUCUUCUUGGAUGAGUUGCGAACGGGUGAGUAACGCGUAGGUAACCUGCCUUGUAGCGGGGGAUAACUAUUGGAAACGAUAGCUAAUACCGCAUAACAAUGGAUGACACAUGUCAUUUAUUUGAAAGGGGCAAUUGCUCCACUACAAGAUGGACCUGCGUUGUAUUAGCUAGUAGGUGAGGUAAUGGCUCACCUAGGCGACGAUACAUAGCCGACCUGAGAGGGUGAUCGGCCACACUGGGACUGAGACACGGCCCAGACUCCUACGGGAGGCAGCAGUAGGGAAUCUUCGGCAAUGGGGGCAACCCUGACCGAGCAACGCCGCGUGAGUGAAGAAGGUUUUCGGAUCGUAAAGCUCUGUUGUAAGUCAAGAACGGGUGUGAGAGUGGAAAGUUCACACUGUGACGGUAGCUUACCAGAAAGGGACGGCUAACUACGUGCCAGCAGCCGCGGUAAU
rnacentral:rRNA from 1 species